rnacentral:miRNA from 14 species
AUUUUAUCAAUGAUUUGAUAUAAUUAAAAGUGCUAUCGCUUCUCGGCCUUUUGGCUAAGAUCAAGUGUAAAAGUGCUGUGGACA